AGAGUUUGAUCCUGGCUCAGGAUGAACGCUAGCGGGAGGCUUAACACAUGCAAGUCGAGGGGCAGCAUUAUCGCUAGCGAUAGAUGGCGACCGGCGGACGGGUGCGUAACGCGUAUGCAACCUACCCUUAACUGGAGAAUAGCCCGGGGAAACCCGGAUUAAUGCUCCAUAGUAUUACAGAUUCGCAUGUUUCUGUAAUUAAAGCUUUGGCGGUUAAGGAUGGGCAUGCGUAACAUUAGCUUGUUGGUGAGGUAACGGCUCACCAAGGCAACGAUGUUUAGGGGUUCUGAGAGGAUGACCCCCCACACUGGUACUGAGACACGGACCAGACUCCUACGGGAGGCAGCAGUGAGGAAUAUUGGACAAUGGGCGAAAGCCUGAUCCAGCCAUCCCGCGUGCAGGAAGACGGCCCUAUGGGUUGUAAACUGC
rnacentral:rRNA from 1 species